AAGCGUGUGUCGUCACCGACGCAGCUAAAAGCGGAGCGCAUGCAUGUUUGCACAGGAAUUCUUGCGUUGGAUUCAUACGCAGCACAUGGACUCUGAUGUUGUCAAUGCCCAGUCGUCACCACUGCCAUGCUUUUGUGCUCUAACCUCUUCUACACUCAUAUGCACAUCACAUCUGCUGAUGGUGGACCAGUAAGUCAUGUCUACAAAUAGGUAAGCCACCUUUCAAAAAGGAAGCACACGAUGCAUGCCAGGUGAGUAGCGUUGCCCUUUGACCAAUAUUUUUGUUUUGGUAAAAUACUUUGUAGCACUGGACAUUGUAAAAA
rnacentral:lncRNA from 1 species